UACGAAGGGGGCUAGCGUUGCUCGGAUUGACUGGGCGUAAAGGGCGCGUAGGCGGCUUCGUACAGUCAGACGUGAAAUUCCUGGGCUCAACCUGGGGGCUGCGUUUGAUACGUGCGGGCUUGAGUUCGGAAGAGGGUCGUGGAAUUCCCAGUGUAGAGGUGAAAGUUCGUAGAUAUUGGGAAGAACACCGGUGGCGAAGGCGGCGACCUGGUCCGAUACUGACGCUGAGGCGCGAAAGCGUGGGGAGCAAACAGG
rnacentral:rRNA from 1 species